rnacentral:rRNA from 1 species
AACGCGAAGAACCUUACCCGAGGCUUGACAUGUAGUUGAAUAACUGUGAAAGCUGUUAGGCCCGCAAGGGACAAUUACACAGGUGCUGCAUGGCUGUCGUCAGCUCGUGCUGUGAAGUGUUGGGUUAAGUCCCGCAACGAGCGCAACCUUUAUUCUUAGUUGCCAUCACGUCAUGGUGGGCACUCUAAGGAGACCCCUGUGAAGGGGAGCGGACCUCGUAAAGCUGUCCUCAGUUCAGAUUGCACUCUGCAACUCGAGUGCAUGAAGGUGGAGUUGCUAGUAACCGCGUGUCAGCAUAGCGCGGUGAAUAUGUUCCCGGGUCUUGUACACACCG